rnacentral:rRNA from 1 species
UGAUGAAGGACUUCGGUUCGUAAAGCUCUGUCGUAUGGGAAUAAGAAAGUGAAUGUACCAUGCAAGAAAGGAUCGGCUAACUUCGUGC